AAUCAACGCUGGCGGCGUGCCUCAGACAUGCAAGUCGAACGAUUAAAGCUCUCUUCGGAGAGUGUAUAGAGUGGCGCACGGGUGAGUAACACGUAAGUAAUCUACCUUCGAGUGGGGAAUACCGUCCGGAAACGGACGCUAAUACCGCAUAAUGCAUUAGCAUCGCAAGAUGCCAUUGUUAAAGAUUUAUCGCUUGAAGAGGAGCUUGCGGCAGAUUAGCUAGUUGGUAAGGUAACGGCUUACCAAGGCUACGAUCUGUAACCGGUCUAAGAGGACGGUCGGUCACACUGACACUGAAUAACGGGUCAGACUCCUACGGGAGGCAGCAGUCGGGAAUUUUGGGCAAUGGGCGAAAGCCUGACCCAGCAACGCCGCGUGAAGGAUGAAGUAUUUCGGUAUGUAAACUUCGAAAGAAUGGGAAGAAUAAAUGACGGUACCAUUUAUAAGGUCCGGCUAACUACGUGCCAGCAGCCGCCGUAAU
rnacentral:rRNA from 1 species